rnacentral:rRNA from 1 species
UGAGGAAUAUUGGUCAAUGGGCGCGAGCCUGAACCAGCCAAGUAGCGUGAAGGAUGAAGGUCCUAUGGAUUGUAAACUUCUUUUAUAGCAGAAUAAAGUGACCCACGUGUGGGUUUUUGUAUGUAUGCUAUGAAUAAGGAUCGGCUAACUCCGUGCCAGCAGCCGCGGUAAUACGGAGGAUCCGAGCGUUAUCCGGAUUUAUUGGGUUUAAAGGGUGCGUGGGCGGAAAGAUAAGUCAGCCUGUGAAAGUUUGCGGCUCAACCGUAAAAUUGCAGUUGAUACUGUUUUUCUUGAGUGUACAUAAGGUUGGCGGAAUUCGUGGUGUAGCGGUGAAAUGCUUAGAUAUCACGAAGAACUCCGAUUGCGAAGGCAGCUUACCGGGGUACAACUGACGCUGAUGCACGAAAGUGUGGGUAUCAAACA